GGUAAUGGUGGGCGUGCAUGCGGGGGAAUGCGGGGGGUGCGGUGGGUAAUCGGAGUGUCGGGGCGUGAAGCGGGCGUAGGCGGCGGAUUAAGUCGGAUGGGAAAUCCCUGAGCUUAACUUAGGAAUUGCAUUCGAUACUGGUCAGCUAGAGGAUGGGAGAGGAUGGUAGAAUUCCAGGUGUAGCGGUGAAAUGCGUAGAGAUCUGGAGGAAUACCGAUGGCGAAGGCAGCCAUCUGGCCUAAUACUGACGCUGAGGUACGAAAGCAUGGGGAGCAAACAGGAUUAGAUACCCCAGUAGUC
rnacentral:rRNA from 1 species